GUAGAAUACAGCUAAUCAUAAAUGGACCAAUAUCUCCAGCUGAUCUCGAGGACUUGGGAGUUGGUGCAAGAUGAUUCCCAGGGCUUCUCUCACCAUCCUCUUCAUUGCGCUCCUAAUUUCGGCUGAAUUAAUGGCUCCAUCAGAAAUCAGAUCAACAAACAUGCCGACCAGAGUACUACCAAAGACGAGAUACCACGGCGAGUACUUUACCAGCUGUAAAAUUCAGAGUCCUGGUCAUGGUUCACCACGGGGCCCAAGUUAUAAGCCGCCAAGGUGCCCCCAUUGCUAACAGUUGGUCUUGGUUGAAGGUGGCCGGACCUCUAGCCUCGAGUCCGUGACCGAUCGUUGUUCAAAUAUCAAUCAAUUUUAUAAUUAUCUAAAUCUUCGAUCGUAUGUGACCGCAGGAUAAGAAUGAGGUAUUAUGUAUAAUGGUCCUAAUGGUCCUGGUGAUCAAAAACCUAAAAGCCUUCGUAAAAAAGUACCUAUAUUUCCAUCAAGCUGUAUAAGCCUUUGUGUUAUAUUAUGUUUGUUUAAACAAGAGCUGUGAC